CCUACGGGUGGCAGCAGUAGGGAAUCUUCCACAAUGGACGAAAGUCUGAUGGAGCAACGCCGCGUGAGUGAAGAAGGUCUUCGGAUCGUAAAACCCUGUUGUUAGAGAAGAAAGAGCGUGAGAGUAACUGUUCUCGUUUCGACGGUAUUUACCUAGAAAGCCACGGCUAACUACGUGCCAGCAGCCGCGGUAAUACGUAGGUGGCAAGCGUUAUCCGGAUUUAUUGGGCGUAAAGGGAACGCAGGCGGUCUUUUAAGUCUGAUGUGAAAGCCUUCGGCUUAACCGGAGAAGUGCAUUAGAAACUGGGAGACUUGAGUGCAGAAGAGGUGAGUGGAACUCCAUGUGUAGCGGUGAAAUGCGUAGAUAUAUGGAAGAACACCAGUGGCGAAGGCGGCUCUCUGGUCUGUAACUGACGCUGAGGCUCGAAAGCGUGGGUAGCAAACAGGAUUAGAUACCCUUGUAGUC
rnacentral:rRNA from 1 species